rnacentral:lncRNA from 1 species
UGCUGUAACAAAGUACCCCAAACUGGGUGGCUUAAACCGAAAACACGUAUGUCUCACAGUUCUGGAGGCAGGCGAGUCCUAGAUGAAGACACUGGUAGAUCCAAUGUCUGGCAAGUACUCUUCCAGUUUUGCAUACGGCUCUUGACCUCCUUUAAACCUACCAAUCCCAGAGGCCUCACCUCCUUAUGCAUCUCCCUGGGGGUUAGAGUUUCAAUAGAUGAAUUUUGGGAGAACAAAAUGUGCAGUCCGUACCAUGGGGUUCAUGAUUUUUUUAAUGUGUGUAUAUUUCCCUAAUUAGACCGCAUGCCAAAAAGGAGGUACCCAAUCAAAGUGCGUUAAUGAAAAGGCAAAUUGAACCGAAAACAUUUAAAAUCAAUUUUUUUUUGCAAAUUUGAAACACACCAUGCAUUAUUAUAAACUACAGUCAUCAGGCUAUGCAAUGCUUCACUAAAACUUGUUCUUUUUGUCUGACUGACACUGUGGACCUAUUGACCAGUGUCUCCCCAGUCCCCAUUCUGCUCCCCACAGCCACAGCCCCUGGUAACCACCCUCCUACUCCCGGCUUCUACGAGUUCGGCACUUUCAGAUUCCACACCCAGAAAACUCCGACUCCACCAACACGAAUUAGAAGUGGCAGUCAGAGGACAUUGCUAUGAGAGGAAGGAGUUCGAGGAGCAGAGAUUAUCCCAGCCUGAAUGUGCCCUUCGUUGAUUUCAUGAUGUUGCGGAGGCAGAAGCCUGAGGUCAAAGUGUGGCAAUCACGCCCUCCUGGCUGCUGGGCUGCCAGAGUCCUCGCGUUCCUGACUGCAGCUGCACCACUUCCAUCUCUGUCUCCAUUAUCCCCUGUCCAUCUUCCCUCUGCCUGUGUCACUUCUCUUCCUAUAAGGACACUCGUCAUGUUGGAUUAAGGGCCCACUCUACUCCAGCAUGACCUCAUCUUAAUGUACAUCUUAAUUACA